rnacentral:pre_miRNA from 1 species
AAUAGAUGACAUCGUUGACUUUUUCUCACAUGUUUGAUCAUUCGUCUUAUUCAAAAAAUUUACAUAAUUAUAAUUUAUUUUGUUAUGAGUUGUUUUAUCACUCAUAGUACUUUAAGUGUGAUUUAUAUCUUAUACAUUUGCAUAAAUUUUUUAAAUAAGACGAAUAGUCAAACAUGUGAGAAAAAGUCAACGACGUCAUCUAUU